rnacentral:ncRNA from 2 species
GGAGGAACCUCUGGAGAGAACCGUUAAAUCGGUCGCCGAAGGAGCAAGCUUAAGCUUUUAUUACAAGCUAAGUGAAACUCUCAGGCAAAAGGACAGAGGAGUGAAA